rnacentral:rRNA from 1 species
GACGAACGCUGGCGGCGCGCUUAACACAUGCAAGUCGAGCGAGAACCAGCCCUUCGGGGCUGGGGAAAGCGGCGAACGGGUGAGUAACACGUGGGUAAUCUGCCCUCGGCACCGGAAUAGCCCGGGGAAACCCGGAUUAAUGCCGGAUAGCCUCUCCAGCCCUUGGGUUGGUGAGAAAAGGUAGCUUCGGCCUCUGGCCGAGGAGGAGCCCGCGGCGGAUUAGCUUGUUGGUGGGGUAACGGCCCACCAAGGCGACGAUCCGUAGCUGGUCUGAGAGGACGAUCAGCCACACUGGGACUGAGACACGGCCCAGACUCCUACGGGAGGCAGCAGUGGGGAAUCUUGCGCAAUGGGCGAAAGCCUGACGCAGCGACGCCGCGUGCGGGAAGAAGGCCUUCGGGUUGUAAACCGCUUUCAGGAGGGACGAAGCCACUCGGGUUAAUAGCCCAGAGGGUGACGGUACCUCCAGAAGAAGCCCCGGCUAACUACGUGCCAGCCGCCGCGGUAACAC